rnacentral:rRNA from 1 species
UACAGGGGGUGCAAACGUUGCUCGGAAUCAUUGGGCGUAAAGCGCACGUAGGCGGUUCGUUAUGUCGGAUGUGAAAGCCCUUGGCUUAACCGAGGAAGUGCAUCCGAAACUGGCGAGCUAGAGUACUAAAGAGGAUCGCGGAAUUCCCGGUGUAGAGGUGAAAUUCGUAGAUAUCAGGAGGAACACCUGUGGCGAAAGCGGCUCACUGGACCAUAACUGACGCUGAUGCACGAAAGCUAGGGGAGCAAACAGG